UUUUACAUCAAGCCAAAACUAUUCAAGGCACCAUGAAGUAAUCUUUUGUAAAUCAUCACAUUACGGUCACAUUAUUCGUAAUUCGUACAUUGAAUAUAAAAAAAAUUCUUGGCAUCAGGCUUAAGUUUUUCAAGGAUUCAAUAUCUACAAUGAGGUAGGCCUACACCUUAAACGUCCAAUGCUAUCAAAAAGGUCUUUCUAGAAUUCGGUUCAACAUUACAGACACUUGUACCUAAAUGUUUAGGGAAUUGUUUGGGGAUUAAAAGUUUAACUUUAUAAGUUAUUUAUUAUUUAUAAGGUUUAUUUGGCAAAAGGCAGAGUAUUGCCUUAGUAUUGUGAAGAGUGGGUUGUAGAUUACAUUAUAAUCACAAUGCUAAUCAUCGUACCUAACAGACCCAUGUCAUUUCUCGUAAAGUAUAACGAACACUUUCUGAUUACAAGGCCAGUUAUCACGCUAUGUUCUCAGUAAAGGCUAAGCAUUUAAAGCCAACACCUCAUAGUCAUCAUUACAACCCAAUCAGGGAACAAAUAGUGCUUUAGCUGGAAUCAAAUACCUAUCUUUUCCCUUUGUAAUAGGGUAAAAAUAAUUUGUAAACAAUUCAGCAAUGGAAGUAUUGACUUAACGGACAAACAUUAACA